rnacentral:rRNA from 1 species
AUGAACGCUGGCGGCGUGCCUAAUACAUGCCAGUCGAGCGAACGGACGAGAAGCUUGCUUCUCUGAUGUUAGCGGCGGACGGGUGAGUAACACGUGGAUAACCUACCUAUAAGACUGGGAUAACUUCGGGAAACCGGAGCUAAUACCGGAUGAUAUUUUGAACCGCAUGGUUCAAAAGUGAAAGACGGUCUUGCUGUCACUUAUAGAUGGAUCCGCGCUGCAUUAGCUAGUUGGUAAGGUAACGGCUUACCAAGGCAACGAUGCAUAGCCGACCUGAGAGGGUGAUCGGCCACACUGGAACUGAGACACGGUCCAGACUCCUACGGGAGGCAGCAGUAGGGAAUCUUCCGCAAUGGGCGAAAGCCUGACGGAGCAACGCCGCGUGAGUGAUGAAGGUCUUCGGAUCGUAAAACUCUGUUAUUAGGGAAGAACAUAUGUGUAAGUAACUGUGCACAUCUUGACGGUACCUAAUCAGAAAGCCACGGCUAACUACGUG